rfam:Angomonas deanei Cont12662, whole genome shotgun sequence.
AGUGUGAUUAAACACGGACUCUCAUGUUUUUACUUUAGUAACUGAGUGUCCGCCAGUGUUACACGAG